UCAUAAUAUGGCGAAGACGAGUCACUUGAAGGCCUAACAGCUCUUAUGAGGAGCAGUCUUGCCAUAGAAGACUGAAAGAAUGAGCUGUAGAAACAACAGGGUGCCUGCUGCAGUAUGACGAGGACGCCCUGAUCAUAGAAGGUCCAGUGUCUUGGCAGGGUGAAAUGGCACUGAUAUCGGUAUGUGGUGAUAUCAGUUAAAAUUAAUGAAUUAAUUCUCAUAUCUGAAUAAUGUGAACACUGGAUUUACCACACACUCACACACACCCUAGUCCUAGAUGAUACAACCAAGGUUACUUUUACCACAGCUCUGGCACUGCAUCAAAUUUCUUUUCUUUUUUAUAGAACUGGACAGGUCAUUUAUUCGUUCCCCUUGUUUUUUGCAGUGUCCUGCAGGAUGCUGUGUCCUGCAAUCCUGUGUGCUGUGCUACAGACGCGUGUGGAGGUCAACCCGAAAUGGGCACAGUAGAGUGAAAGAGGGUAAGCUUAACCUAUAGCCUACGUCAGGGUUGGGGAACCUUUCUCAUUCGAAUGGCCACUUCAAAUUCAUCCGAGGGGCCAUAAAAGUCCUCCAAGGGCCGUACUAUGAACACAAACCAGGAUUUUCCCUUUCACUUUAGGCCUAUAUUGAAGGCAGCCACAUUUAAACAAACGCCAACUUCAGGUUCCCUGAAUAUAACUUAAUUGUAUUGCUAAUGUAUUUUCUAAGAUUCCUUUACAAAAUAUGUCAUAUUUCAUGUGAAGAUGGAAUUGCAUUAAAAUUAUAUCGGGGGCCGGAUAAAACAGCCUCAAGGGUCGCAAACGGCCCUAGAGACAUAGGUUCCCCACCCCUGUCCUACAUUGUCAAUAUGACUUGUGCUACUUUAUAGAUAAGUUGUCAAUGCUGUGCAUUGCUAUGUUUUGAUUUAUUUUCUUACAUCCUACAGAUCCUGGCAGGGAGACGGUAGUGUCCUGCAGGAUGGUGAUGGGCAAUCUUACAAGAGACCACAGAAAACUGAUAUAGUCUCCCAGAAGUGAGACUGAGUGCCUGUUGCAGUAUGACGAGGAAGCAGUGACCAGAGACCUUCAGUAGACCCUGCUGGCAUGAUUGGCG